ACCACCGCACAUCAAUUUUAAUACGGCACACUCUCAAAACUUCCCCGGUGCACACACAAUGUAACAGCAGCCUGGGAUAUUGGAAUAACGUAGAAUGUCAGCGCUGAGAAAGGUGUUGCCGAGCAUACUGCAGAAGCAUUGCUGUAUCCUACCUGACAGAAACACAGUCUCCUGGACAUCUCGAUGCCCUACUCACCUCGUGUUUGGAACUUGGAGCCACAAAUGAAACAGUGAUGCCCCUUAAGGAAAGUUUUGCGAAGGAAGAAGUGUUUUAUUUUGCGAUUGGAAAUAUUGCCUGGCUGUACCCGUUUGAGUCCGGAGGGUAGAGGCAGGGAGUUGUACAAAGUAGUUUGAGGGUUGAGGGAUGAGGAAACAAACAUGGACAGGACAGUGCUGCAUCAGAUCAGCUCUUACAUCAAAACAACCUGCAAAGCAAGGUAGAGUGUGUAUUUUUUUUAGUAGUUUCUUUACAAUGUCAAUGAUGUCCAUUCACAAUUUUCCCAUUUCUCAUGAAUAUUUACUACCACCAUCAAUUUGCAAGUAGCCUAUUCAUUGUGAUUUGGAAAUGUACUCUUUUCAUGCAUUAACAGGUGGGUCAUCUCUAAGUAAAUCUGCCAUGUCAGACCAGUUAAUACCAUUUUACAUACCAUACUGAAGUAAAAUGUAUUACUGUAAUGUAAGAGGUCAAAUAAGUGAAUGGGGAGCAUACUUUGUAGCCGGGUUCCUACCAGACCUCUGUGUGCGUGUUGCUCUGGAGCCCCCUGGUGCCGCUCGAACACUAAUAGUGGAGCUCACAAAGCUGCCCGUAACUUCUAUACAGUGGUGCAUUUCUCACAAGAGAAGUUGUAGCCUGUUAGCAACUUUGGUAGUUGCCUAUGAGAAAAUGCAUUGAAAACAGCAAAGUAGCUAAUGUAGUAAGCAACUUUGGUUUUGAGAAAUGCACCCCUGGUCGGGUAGAGCCAGUCAAUACUUUCCGGACAUUAUCACUAAAAUUACACACUGAAGCUAUGAAAAAAAGUUUAUAAAUAAAGUUUCUAUAUUUUAUUUGGCGAUGUUGCCUAUA